rnacentral:tRNA from 2 species
GGAAGAGCGGCAGAGCGGUUGAAUGCACUGAUCUUGAAAUUCGGCGAUGGGCAACCUCCGGGGGUUCGAAUCCCACCUCCACCA